rnacentral:rRNA from 1 species
GAUGAACGCUGGCGGCGUGCUUAACACAUGCAAGUCGAACGAAGCACCUCUCCCGAAGAUUGACACAGCUUGCUGUAGAUUGAUUCAUUUGAGGUGACUGAGUGGCGGACGGGUGAGUAACGCGUGGGUAACCUGCCUCAUAGAGGGGGACAACAGUUGGAAACGACUGCUAAUACCGCAUAGUAAGAAGAAUUCGCAUGUUUUCUUCUUGAAAGAUUUAUCGCUAUGAGAUGGACCCGCGUCUGAUUAGCUAGUUGGUAAGGUAACGGCUUACCAAGGCGACGAUCAGUAGCUGGCUUGAGAGAGUGAACGGCCACAUUGGGACUGAGACACGGCCCAAACUCCUACGGGAGGCAGCAGUGGGGAAUAUUGCACAAUGGGGGAAACCCUGAUGCAGCGACGCCGCGUGAGUGAAGAAGUAUUUCGGUAUGUAAAGCUCUAUCAGCAGGGAAGAUAAUGACGGUACCUGACUAAGAAGCCCCGGCUAACUACGUG